rnacentral:rRNA from 1 species
CCUACGGGUGGCAGCAGUGGGGAAUAUUGGACAAUGGGCGAAAGCCUGAUCCAGCCAUGCCGCGUGUGUGAAGAAGGCCUUCGGGGUGUAAAGCACUUUCAGUGGGGAAGAAAGCCUUGGGGCUAAUACCCUCGAGGAAGGACAUCACCCACAGAAGAAGCACCGGCUAACUCCGUGCCAACAGCCGCGGUAAUACGGAGGGUGCGAGCGUUAAUCGGAAUUACUGGGCGUAAAGCGCGCGUAGGCGGUCUGAUAAGCCGGUUGUGAAAGCCCCGGGCUCAACCUGGGAACGGCAUCCGGAACUGUCAGGCUAGAGUGCAGGAGAGGAAGGUAGAAUUCCCGGUGUAGCGGUGAAAUGCGUAGAGAUCGGGAGGAAUACCAGUGGCGAAGGCGGCCUUCUGGACUGACACUGACGCUGAGGUGCGAAAGCGUGGGUAGCAAACAGGAUUAGAUACCCUAGUAGUC